ACAAACGUUCGUAAUUUAUACACCUAGGCUCAGCUUCUCUAUAUUGAUACGAAGGCCUGGAGCGUUUCUUUGUUCCACGCCUUACAAAAACGAGCAAGGCUUAUAUAAUAUUUCUGGUUCCCUUCUACUGUGUGCAAACAGAACUUGGCGGCGCAAUAGCAGCUCAACUACUAUUGUUAUUAAUCAGGAUAAAUGCUUCUGCCUGGCUGGCACACAUGCUUAGGCACAACAGUCUGCUCCAGCACCGCAGGGCAAGGCGCGCUGCAGGUCAUUUAUAUAGCAUCUCCUCAUUUGUAUAUUAUUCACAUAUAGCAUCUCAUUUCUUGGUUGAUUGCUUACAUGUAUUCAACUUCUGCCUCUUUCGCUCCCAAGCUGGCCUCCCUCUCCUCGGUGCUCAGCGGGAGAAGCAUGAGGUGAUGCACCUUUGACCCCGUAGUGCUCGGCUCCAAUUCAUCAGGGAGGCCACCGGCAAGCAUCAAGCUGCCCUUGGUGCUUCCUCGUCAUCAAGGAGGAGGAGGUCGGGUAGCAUCGUCCUCAAGGACAGGCACAACCGCGACAUCGCAGAGAUGGACGAGAUUGUGGUGCUGCUCCUUCUUGUGGUGUAUGCAUCGGCGUGGCUUGCGGUAGUGAUGCAUAUCUUCGUGGGCAAUGCUAUUUGAAGACCAUUCAAGUGAUUUAAAGGAGAAGAUGUCCAGACUGUAAGGAGGUUGAAGAUGACGAUCAAAAGAUUGACAUAUUAAGCGACUGCCAAGAAGCCAAUAAUGCUUGCCCCCUGCCAUUAGUAAUACCCUUGCUUCUUUAUGAAAUCUUUCCUAACUAUCGUUGCAGAUUGUGAGAUCCCUAUUUAAAUACAUUACUCAGCAGCUGGCCGGUACAGAGUUGCGUGGCAGGCAUAUGUGUUCUCAGCCACCUUAUCAAUUGUAGGCUUAGAAUGAUUUGCUUCGUCCAAGUGUUGUUUGUUAACAAUUCCUUUGUUUGUCCAUGUCAAUUCUGAUUUUAGAGGAUACAUAUGUUUUGGUAGGAAGUGUAUUGUUCUUAUGUUUUUUCCUGGUAUGUACUGACUGAUGCAGUAACUGAUGCUUCAGAUUAUGAAAUCCCUAUUAAAUGAAUCGCUCGGUAAUUGUUUGUAUGAA